rnacentral:sRNA from 1 species
GCUGGGCACGGUGGCGCGCACCUGUAAUCCCAGCAACUCAGGAGGUCGAGUCAGGAGGAUCAAGAGUUCAAAGCCAGCCUCAGCAAUUUAGUGAGGUCUUAAGCAACUUAAAGAGACCCUGUCUCUA